rfam:Equus caballus chromosome 5, whole genome shotgun sequence.
GCCCUGGUGGUCUAGUGGUUAAGACUUGGCGCUCUCACCGCCAUGGCCCUGGUUCGUUUCCCGGUCAAGGAA